GACGAACGCUGGCGGCGUGCCUAAUACAUGCAAGUCGAACGAGAGCGACCGGUGCUUGCACUGGUCAAUCUAGUGGCGAACGGGUGAGUAACACGUGGGUAACCUGCCCAUCAGAGGGGGAUAACAUCCGGAAACGGAUGCUAAAACCGCAUAGGUCUUCGAACCGCAUGGUUUGAAGGGGAAAAGAGGCGCAAGCUUCUGCUGAUGGAUGGACCCGCGGUGCAUUAGCGAGUUGGUGAGGAAACGGCUCACCAAGGCCGUGAUGCAUAGCCGACCUGAGAGGGGGAUCGGCCACAUUGGGACUGAGACACGGCACAAACUCCUACGGGAGGCAGCAGGAGGGAAUCUUCCGCAAUGGACGCAAGUCUGACGGAGCAACGCCGCGUGAGUGAAGAAGGUUUUCGUAUCGUAAAACUCUGUUGUUAGAGAAGAACAAGUGCUAGAGUAACUGUUAGCGCCUUGACGGUAUCUAACCAGAAAGCCACGGCUAACUACGUG
rnacentral:rRNA from 1 species